rnacentral:rRNA from 1 species
GAUGAACGCUGGCGGCGUGCCUAAUACAUACAAGUCGAGCGAACAGAUGAGGAGCUUGCUCCUCUGACGUUAGCGGCGGACGGGUGAGUAACACGUGGAUAACCUACCUAUAAGACUGGGAUAACUUCGGGAAACCGGAGCUAAUACCGGAUAAUAUAUUGAACCGCAUGGCUCAAUAGUGAAAGACGGUUUUGCUGUCACUUAUAGAUGGAUCCGCGCCGCAUUAGCUAGUUGGUAAGGUAACGGCUUACCAAGGCAACGAUGCGUAGCCGACCUGAGAGGAUGAUCGGCCACACUGGAACUGAGACACGGUCCAGACUCCUACGGGAGGCAGCAGUAGGGAAUCUUCCGCAAUGGGCGAAAGCCUGACGGAGCAACGCCGCGUGAGUGAUGAAGGUCUUCGGAUCGUAAAACUCUGUUAUUAGGGAAGAACAAAUGUGUAAGUAACUAUGCACGUCUUGACGGUACCUAAUCAGAAAGCCACGGCUAACUACGUG